rnacentral:rRNA from 1 species
UGGAUUAAGAGCUUGCUCUUAUGAAGUUAGCGGCGGACGGGCUGAGAUAACACGUGGGUAACCUGCCCAUAAGACUGGGAUAACUCCGGGAAACCGGGGCUAAUACCGGAUAACAUUUUGAACCGCAUGGUUCGAAAUUGAAAGGCGGCUUCGGCUGUCACUUAUGGAUGGACCCGCGUCGCAUUAGCUAGUUGGUGAGGUAACGGCUCACCAAGGCAACGAUGCGUAGCCGACCUGAGAGGGUGAUCGGCCACACUGGGACUGAGACACGGCCCAGACUCCUACGGGAGGCAGCAGUAGGGAAUCUUCCGCAAUGGACGAAAGUCUGACGGAGCAACGCCGCGUGAGUGAUGAAGGCUUUCGGGUCGUAAAACUCUGUUGUUAGGGAAGAACAAGUGCUAGUUGAAUAAGCUGGCACCUUGACGGUACCUAACCAGAAAGCCACGGCUAACUACGUGCCAGCAGCCGCGGUAAUACGUAGGUGGCAAGCGUUAUCCGGAAUUAUUGGGCGUAAAGCGCGCGCAGGUGGUUUCUUAAGUCUGAUGUGAAAGCCCACGGCUCAACCGUGGAGGGUCAUUGGAAACUGGGAGACUUGAGUGCAGAAGAGGAAAGUGGAAUUCCAUGUGUAGCGGUGAAAUGCGUAGAGAUAUGGAGGAACACCAGUGGCGAAGGCGACUUUCUGGUCUGUAACUGACACUGAG